UGCGCUCUUCAGUCACGUCUCGGUCCCAUUUCGUUGAGAGGGCUGGAGGUGAAGGGGUGCUGAGGACCGGCUCCGGCGGAGGCCUGAAAUAAACGAAGCCGAGCAGCAAUUUCUUUCUUUGAAACUUAACCCAAUGAGGCAUCAGAGGGACGCGUUCAGUAUGGUGAUGACAAAUAAACUUGGAGCACUUUGCAAAGGAACCUGUGGCGCCAAAAGCCAUGGGGUGGAGGAUGCUGCUGCUGUUGUGAAGCUGGGCUAUCUAACUCAAGAGGAAGAUAAUUCGCACAGAACAUAGGAUGAGUGGGACAGCUGAGCCACAGCUGCUGCACUUCAUAUGUUGAUGCCGGAGACAAGAUGGCUGUAAACUACGACUGAGACGGUGCCUUUCAAGUUGCUUACCGUCCCAUUCCAGAGAGCAUUUGGAAAUCAGUGCUUUGUUUAAUCACCAAGCCACCUGGAAAGAAUUGUGACUGUGAACGUAGAGAUCCCUGCAGAAAAUACUUCCCAAGGCACAGAACGGUGUGAGCUUGUGUGUAUGGCCGGAAACAUAAUGAAACAUCAGCUAUCUUGCUUGUGGGAUUCAGUACAUUUGUGUUAACUGCUUAUAAUCUAUUCCGAGUCAUCUUCGUUAAGCAGAGAACUUUCAUUGUAUCUGACAAAAUGUCUCAAGAUGAACAGAUACUUUAAACACUGAUUUAUGGAAUAAAAGCCUAUUUUACGAUUA